GACGAACGCUGGCGGCGUGCCUAACACAUGCAAGUCGAGCGGGAACCUCGGGAGGGGUAACCCUCCUGAGGGGAGAGCGGCGAACGGGUGAGUAACACGUGGGCAACCUGCCCCGGACACCGGGAUAACCCAGGGAAACCUGAGCUAAUCCCGGAUACUCCGGCGUGAUCGCAUGGUCGCGCCGGGAAAGCUCCGACGGUCCGGGAUGGGCCCGCGGCCUAUCAGCUUGUUGGUGGGGUAACGGCCCACCAAGGCGACGACGGGGAGCUGGUCUGUGAGGACGGCCAGCCACACUGGGACUGAGAGACGGCCGAGAUUCCUACGGGGGGGAGAAGUGGGGGAUCUUGCGCUAAUGCGCGAAAGCGUGACGCAGCGACGCCGCGGGGGGGAUGAAGGCCCUCGGGUUGUAAACCCCUUUCGGCAGGGACGAAGCGAAAGUGACGGUACCUGCAGAAGAAGUCCCGGCUAACUACGUGCCAGCAGCCGCCGUAAUAC
rnacentral:rRNA from 1 species